UAUUAUUUUGGGGAAAAAGAUAUAUGACAUAGAAAAUUGAAGUACUCUAUUCUAAAAAUCGAAAAUUGUGCUUAUUGUUCCUCUCAUUCAAUUUGGGAAGAAGAAGAAGAAGAAAAAUGAUUUAUCGGAAGUGGAGUCUCCUUACAGGUCCGACGUCUAUCAUCGCUGGUGUAGUGGCCACCGUCGCCGUCGCCAACUUCAUAUUGGUCAAGAACGAUCCAUUCACUAAACCAGAUCAGAGGAAAUUUGGAGAUCAAACUGUAACCAAGUAGUCAAAAAGAUGUCACAGUGGUUUGCGUUUUGAUGUAAUUUAAACAUUGAUUUAUGAGCCCUUUAUGCUAUUUUGCAAGACAUGCUCUCUUUAGUUUAAUAAAUUCUUAGAUGUCAAAUGAUGUCUGGACUCUGGAGUAUGGACCCUAGUUUAGAACUAACCUAUAAAAGUUUUAAAGAACUGGUUCACAUUUCAGAGAUCCAUUCUUGUUUCUUCUGUACAAUGUCAAAUAGAAACAUGUAAUAAUCUCAUAUUUCAUUUCUUCUACCCUUAUCAAUUUUCUGUUAAA